ensembl:miRNA
CAGGGAGGAGGUGGUACUAGGGACCAGCAACCUGAUUACUCCUCUUUGGCCCUCUGUACCCCUCCAG